CCGUAGGUUAAAGUUCUGUAACGUUGAACUAAUCCUUUGCCAAAGGAACGCUGUCCCAUAAUUACUGCUCUAUCAUAAUCUUGUAAAGAACCACUUACUAUUUCUGAUGCAGAUGCAGAGCGUCCAUUAAUCAAAACUACAAUUGGAAUCUCUAAAUCCAAGGGUUCAUUUGUACCUUUGUAAGUAUUGCUCCAUUUUUUAAUUUUAGCUUUUGUGGUAACAAUCACUUUUCCUUUUGGAAUAAAAAAGUUUGUGAUAUUAAUUGCUUCUGAAAGCGAUCCUCCAGGAUUAUAUCUUA
rnacentral:ncRNA from 1 species